rnacentral:rRNA from 1 species
CCUACGGGAGGCAGCAGUGGGGGAUAUUGCACAAUGGGGGGAACCCUGAUGCAGCGACGCCGCGUGGGUGAAGGAGUGCUUCGGCAUGUAAAGCUCUAUCGGCAGGGAAGAAGCAAGACGGUUCCUGACUAAGAAGCCCAGGCUAACCACGUGCCAGCAGCCGCGGGAAUACGUAGGGGGCGAGCGUUAUCCGGAUUCACUGGGUGUAAAGGGAGGGUAGACGGCCAAGCAAGGCAGGUGUGAAAGCCCGGGGCCCAACCCCGGGACCGCCCUUGAAACUGGUUGGUUGGAGUGCGGGAGGGGCAGGCGGAAUUCCUGGUGUAGCGGUGAAAUGCGUAGAUAUUAGGAGGAACACCAGCGGCGAAGGCGGCCUGCUGGACCGCGACUGACGGUGAGGCGCGAAAGCGUGGGGAGCGAACAGGAUUAGAUACCCGAGUAGUC